UGAAAUGUUCAUGAUUCACCAAGUAAUGACAAAGUCAUGACUCUGAUGACACCUGGCUGAGAGGACCAGCCCCGGCAGACUGGCACUGGCCACACCCACUAGGGCAGAGCCAGAAGAACUGUGUUCUGAUGCCCUGGCAUCCCCCGGGGGCAGCAGCACCCCCGACAGGUCAGCCGGUGGGUCAUCUACACCCAGAGGCAUCAUGGGCUGGACCAACUCCCCGUGCAAGGCCACACUUCAGGAGGGAACAAGGCCAGCCUGAAGUCUCAGAGAAGAAUAAAGGUGACAGCCUUCUACGAGAACUAAGGGUUACAGAGCAGGGCGGGCUAUCUCUUUGACCUUUGGUUGUGCCGACAAGAAGCUAUGAUGUAUGGUCCAUAAGCUUGAAGACUCCUGGUUAGUGAAACGCAAUCAAAUUCUGCAUUUCAGUGGCCAGCGGGACAAAAGGCUUCUGGCAUUUCAAAAGGUAACUAUGGGCAGCAAAGCUGCACCGUAGGAAACUCCUCAACUAGAACUUGUAUUCUUCAUUACGAAAGUGGAAUAAAAGCCUCUAACAUGCUUAUUAACUUUGUCACAUCCUAAAGUGUCCUUUGAUAAACACAUUUUGCUCCACGUAGUUAGAAGAACAAACCUGCUCAAUUAUUCUAAAAUAAAAAUGACUUUUUAGCAGGUACAGUCCAGUAUUUAGUCCACAUCCAGCAAGCCCGUAGAGUAAGUCAGCCUGUUUAGCUGAGGGGUAUGUUCUGUAACAGGCUCGCCCGAGAGCCACGGUGCUCAGAAGGACUCGGACGACAGAGCAGAAAGGAGUUUAAGGACUCAGACGACAGAGCAGGAAAGGAGUUUAAGGACUCAGACGACAGAGCAGGAAAGGAAUUUACUAUGGUUUGGUUGCUGACUGCAAACAUCUGUUUAACAAAGUUUAACAACAAGGUAUUGGAGACAGACUUGAGGGAUCAUUCUUUCGCUAGUAGAGACUGAGAACUGUGUUUUUGGAACAUACCUUCCGGCCUUGUGUGCAGGUGGCCCCAGGAGGAGGGAUGGGUCUCCACUCAGCUAGGCUUUUAUUUUCUGUAAAUGCUGUCAACCUUUUUGCCUGGGUAGUUGUUCUCUAAAGCAAAGGCAUCUGCCCUUGAUCCGUGAUGCAGAAGAACUAUGUUCUGGGUCCUUGCCAGGAACAACUGUCUAUUGUUAAGCUUUUAUUAAAGGCAAGAAAUAUUUACAUAAAACUGUCUGAAGAAGAUGCAGUUCAUCAUUUCCUCUCAAGUUCAGGGCUCAUCCCUGGAUCCGGCCUUUCCCCCCGUCUCUCUCCCACCAGCAGCACUGUGGGCUCUACCUGCAGACACAUCCUGGCUGUGGCCCGCGCGCUUCCCUCAACCUUUACAGCCUCACCACAGGUCACCCCGGCGCCACCUCUCAUCCAGACUGGACUUUCUCUUCUACUCUGGUUGUACCUGGCGUUAGUACGCCAUGUG